UCCCUGGUGGCUCAGUGAGUAAAGCAUCUGCCUGCAAUGUGGGAAACCUGGGUUCGAUCCCCAGGUUGGGAA
rnacentral:tRNA from 1 species